AUACUUACCUGGCAGGGGAGAUACCAUGAUCACGAAGGUGGUUUUCCCAGGGCGAGGCUUAUCCAUUGCACUCCGGAUGUGCUGACCCCUGCGAUUUCCCCAAAUGUGGGAAACUCGACUGCAUAAUUUGUGGUAGUGGGGGGCUGCGUUCGCGCUUUCCCCUA
rnacentral:snRNA from 1 species